GUCUACGGCCAUACCACCCUGAACGCGCCCGAUCUCGUCUGAUCUCGGAAGCUAAGCAGGGUCGGGCCUGGUUAGUACUUGGAUGGGAGACUGAAAAGAAGACUUACAAAAUUUAGCCC
ensembl:rRNA 5S_rRNA 5S ribosomal RNA